AGUGUUCAAAUAUGGCAAAUGCUGAGCUGUAACCAAUCCAGCUGUUUCUGUAGCUCACUUCCAAUUUCCAUACAUCACAUUACAUUUUUGUCUAUAAAUUUGUUCUGACCACGAGGCAAGCCUCGUGGUCAUUUAUUUUUGAUAUAAAUGUACAUGACACGUCUUGACAAUCAGCCCACCCACCACCACACGGGUAAGGCCUGGCCCCCAGGGAAGAGGCCGGAUGGGGAGAGAGCUGGUGGGUGCCACCAUCUGCCUCUCCAGCCUUCCCAGGCUGCGCAGCCAGGUUCCCAGGCCUCCAGAGGGUGGGACCACAACAGGUGCAGGUAGUGAUGAUGGGUGCUGGCCUCGCAAGGGUUAUGGGGAGAGGACUCAGCUCCACAGCCACCAGCUGAGUCAGGGACCCCGGGGAGCCAGCCCCAGGCUCAGGUGCUCAGUCCUCUGCCCUGGCCAGCACACGUUCCCCCUCCACACAGGAGCAGGAGAAGAUGGAGGGAAGUGGUUUUCAAUUGAAGUUCAUAAAGAGGCGACAGUGGGGAGGGAUCAGGGAGGCAGAGGGCAGGACCACAGCUGGUUACUUGGGCAGCCCCUGGCUCCAGGUGGGGAAGAGAAGCUGACCCCCACGCUGGUCCCACUGCUCUGGUCCCCUCACCCCUCAAAACUCCAGAUGAACCAGGCCUCCGGAACGGCACUGCCGCUCGCACACUCACAAGCAGGCACGCAGGGACACUCAGUUACCACAAAGUUAAAAUUAAGGGGUGGGAAAGAAGAAAAGAAAAAAAAAGACUUUCCAGUGUUUGCUGCUGGGGACCCCAGCACACAGGUUGGGGCCUGUGCUCUAGGCAGGGGCCAUUUGGCAUUAAAGGGAGAGCAGCAAGGGGCUGGUGGCUACAGGGCAGGGGCAUCCACAGAUGUCCUCUUUGUGGAGAAAGAGAAAGAGCCAAACAACGAGAAAACCAAUAACGGCAUCCACUAUAAACUUCAGUUAUCGUACAGCAACGGAGUCAGGACAGAGCAAGAUCUGUAUGUUCGCCUCAUAGAUUCAAUGACCAAACAGGCCAUCGUAUACGAGGGCCAGGACAAGAACCCCGAGAUGUGCCGUGUGCUGCUGACCCACAAGAUCAUGUGCAGCUGGUGCUGUGACAAGAAAAGUCGUGGCAAUAGAAACGAAAUGCCCUCAGACCCUGUAAUCAUGGACAGAUUCUUUCUAAAGUUUUUCCUCAAGUGCAAUCAUAACUGUUUGAAGAAUGCCAGCAACCCUCGAGAUAUGUGGAGAUUCCAGGUUGUUGUAUCGACAACAGUCAACGUGGAUGGCCACGUGCUGGCCAUGUCAGACAACAUGUUUGUGCACAACGAUUCCAAACACGGGAGGCAGGCCUGCCGCCUAGACUCGUCAGAAGCCACUCCGUGCAUCAAGGCCAUCAGUCCCAGUGAAGGCUGGACCAGGGGGGAUGCCACUGUCAUCAGAAAUGGCGACAACUUCUUUGACGGGCUGCAAGUUGUGUUCGGCACUAUGUUGGUGUGGAGUGAGCUGACAACUCCCCAUGCCAUCCGAGUCCAGAUCCCGCCGAGGCACAUUCCUGGCGUAAUCGAAGUGACCCUCUCCUACAAAUCCAAGCAGUUCUGCAAAGGGGCUCCUGGGCGCUUUGUCUACACCACCCUUAAUGAACCAAACAUAGAUUACGGCUAUCAGAGGUUGCAGAACGUGAUCCCAAGACAUCCGGGUGAUCCUGAAAGGUUACUCAAGGAGGUGUUACUGAAGAGGGCGGCGGACCUGGUAGAAGCCUUAUACGGAAUGCCUCACAACAACCAGGAGAUCAUCUUGAAGCGAGCAGCGGACAUCGCCGAGGCGCUGUACAGCGUUCCCCGCAAUCACAACCAGAUACCCACCCUGGGCAACACCCCUGCGCACACGGGCAUGAUGGGCGUCAACUCCUUCAGCAGCCAGCUAGCCGUCAACGUGUCGGAGACAUCACAAGCCAAUGACCAAGUCGGCUACAGUCGCAACACAAGCAGCAUGUCCCCACGAGGCUACGUCCCCAGCAGUACUCCCCAGCAGUCCAAUUACAACACAGUCAGCACUAACAUAAAACAAACAAACAAACAAAAAAACAGAUAUAUGCUAUAAAAUAUGUGAACUUAGAAGAAGCAGAUAACCAAACUCUUGAUAGUUACCAGAACGAAAUAGCUUAUUUGAAUAAACUACAACAACACAGUGAUAAGAUCAUCCGGCUUUAUGAUUAUGAAAUCACAAACCAGUACAUCUACAUGGUAAUGGAGUGUGGAAAUAAUGAUCUUAAUAGUUGGCUUAAAAAGAAAAAAAUCCAUUGACCCAUGGGAAUGCAAGAGUUACUGGAAAAAUAUGUUAGAGGCAGUUCACACAAUCCAUCAACAUGGCAUUGUUCACAGUGAUCUUAAACCAGAUAACUUUCUGAUAGUGGAUGGAAUGUUAAAGCUAAUUGAUUUUGGGAUCACAAACCAAAUGCAACAAGUAUUGUUAAAGAUUCUCAGGUUGGCACAGCUAAUUAUAUGCCACCAGAAGCAAUCAAAGAUAUGUCUUUUUUCAGAGAGAAUGGGAAAUCUAAGUCAAAGAUAAGACCCAAAAGUGAUGUUUGGUCCUUAGGAUGUAUUUUGUACUAUAUGACCUAUGGGAAGACACCAUUUCAGCAUAUAAUUAAUCAGAUUUCUAAAUUGCAUGUCAUAAUUGAUCCUAAUCAAGAAAUUGAAUUUCCUGAUACUCCAGAGAUAGAUCUUCAAGAUGUGUUAAAGUGUUGUUUAAUAAGGGACCCUAAACAGAGGAUAUCCAUUUCUGAGCUCCUGGCUCAUCCAUAUGUUCAAAUUCAAACUCAUCCAGGUUAACAAAUAGCCAAGGGAACCACUGAAGAAAUGAAAUACGUUCUUGGCCAGCUUGUUGGUCUGAAUUCUCCUAACUCUAUUUUGAAAGCUGCUAAAACUUUAUAUGAACACUGUAGUGGUGGUGAAAGUCAUAAUUCUUCAUCAUCCAAGACUUUUGAAAAAAAGUGGGGAAAAAAUGAUUUGUAAUUACUGGUAAAAUGUUAAAUACCACCUAUAAAAUAUAUUGGAUUGUUACACUCUUGAGUCCCUGUGGAAAUCUACA